rnacentral:rRNA from 1 species
UUUCCUGCAGUCGACGGUAACAGGGAGCUUGCUCCGCUGACGAGUGGCGAACGGGUGAGUAAUAUAUCGGAACGUACCCAGAAGUGGGGGAUAACGUAGCGAAAGUUACGCUAAUACCGCAUACGAUCCACGGAUGAAAGUAGGGGACCUUCGGGCCUUAUGCUUUUGGAGCGGCCGAUAUCUGAUUAGCUAGUUGGUGAGGUAAAGGCUCACCAAGGCAACGAUCAGUAGCUGGUCUGAGAGGACGACCAGCCACACUGGAACUGAGACACGGUCCAGACUCCUACGGGAGGCAGCAGUGGGGAAUUUUGGACAAUGGGCGCAAGCCUGAUCCAGCAAUGCCGCGUGAGUGAAGAAGGCCUUCGGGUUGUAAAGCUCUUUUGUCAGGGGAGAAACGGCUGUGGCUAAUAUCCACGGCUAAUGACGGUACCUGAAGAAUAAGCACCGGCUAACUACGUGCCAGCAGCCGCGGUAAUACGUAGGGUGCAAGCGUUAAUCGGAAUUACUGGGCGUAAAGCGUGCGCAGGCGGUUUUGUAAGUCUGACGUGAAAUCCCCGGGCUCAACCUGGGAAUUGCGUUGGAGACUGCAAGGCUAGAAUCUGGCAGAGGGGGGUAGAAUUCCACGUGUAGCAGUGAAAUGCGUAGAGAUGUGGAGGAACACCGAUGGCGAAGGCAGCCCCCUGGGUCAAGAUUGACGCUCAUGCACGAAAGCGUGGGGAGCAAACAGGAUUAGAUACCCUGGUAGUCCACGCCCUAAACGAUGUCUACUAGUUGUCGGGUUUUAAUUAACUUGGUAACGCAGCUAACGCGUGAAGUAGACCGCCUGGGGAGUACGGUCGCAAGAUUAAAA